CUACGGGUGGCAGCAGCCGAGAAUAUUGGACAAUGGGCGAAAGCCUGAUCUAGCGACGCCGCGUGCAGGAAGAAGGUCUUCGGAUUGUAAACUGCUUUUCUACGGGAAGAAUUUUGACGGUACCGUAGGAAUAAGGAGCUGCUAACUACGUGCCAGCAGCCGCGGUAAUACGUAGGCUCCAAGCGUUAUCCGGAUUUAUUGGGCGUAAAGGGUGCGUAGGGGGUUUCGCGCGUCUCUUGUUAAAUUUCACUGCUUAACGGUGGAGCUGCAGGGGAUACGGCGAAGCUAGAGGAUGCGAGAGGUCUGUGGAACUCAAGGUGUAGGGGUGAAAUCCGUUGAUAUCUUGAGGAACACCAAAGGCGAAGGCAACAGACUGGCGCAUUUCUGACCCUGAAGCACGAAAGCGUGGGGAGCAAAAAGGAUUAGAUACCCUUGUAGUCCACGCUGUAAACGAUGUCUACUGGCUAUUUCGAGUAUCGACCCUCGAAGUGGCGAAGCUAACGCGUUAAGUAGACCGCCUGGGAAGUACGACCGCAAGGUUAAAACUUAAAGGAAUAGACGGAGACUCGCACAAGCGGUGGAGCAUGAGGUUUAAUUCGACAAUAAGCGAAGAACCUUACCAGGGCUUGAAAUGUCUGUGGAAGUUUUGCUGAAAAGCGAAAUGUCUUUUAGACCGCAGGCGCAGGUGCUGCAUGGUCGUCGUCAGCUCGUGUCGUGAGAUGUUCCCUUAAGUGGGGUAACGAGCGCAACCCCUAUUCUGUGUUACAAGUGUCGCAGAAGACUGCUCCGUUUUCGGAGAGGAAGGAGGGGAUGACGCCAGAUCCGCAUGGCCCUUUGAUGCCCUGGGCCACACUCAUGCUACAAUGGUCAGUACAACGGGUUGCCAAAUCGUAAGGUGGAGCUAAUCCUAUAAAACUGGCCUCAGUUCGGAUUGGGGGCUGCAACUCGCCCCCAUGAAGCCGGAAUCGCUAGUAAUCGCGAAUCAGCUACGUCGCGGUGAAUACGUUCUCGAGUCUUGUACUCACUGCCCGUCAAGUCAAGGAAGCUGGGAGCAGGUGAAAUUCGCCUUUGUGGCGGACUAGCCUGAACUUGGUAACAUGGACUAAGUCGUAACAAGGCACGUGUAGCGGAAGCUGUGCGUG
rnacentral:rRNA from 1 species